GAUGAACGCUGGCGGCGUGCCUAAUACAUGCAAGUCGAGCGAACAGACGAGGAGCUUGCUCCUCUGACGUUAGCGGCGGACGGGUGAGUAACACGUGGAUAACCUACCUAUAAGACUGGGAUAACUUCGGGAAACCGGAGCUAAUACCGGAUAAUAUAUUGAACCGCAUGGUUCAAUAGUGAAAGACGGUUUUGCUGUCACUUAUAGAUGGAUCCGCGCCGCAUUAGCUAGUUGGUAAGGUAACGGCUUACCAAGGCAACGAUGCGUAGGCGACCUGAGAGGGUGAUCGGCCACACUGGAACUGAGACACGGUCCAGACUCCUACGGGAGGCAGCAGUAGGGAAUCUGCCGCAAUGGGCGAAAGCCUGACGGAGCAACGCCGCGUGAGUGAUGAAGGUCUUCGGAUCGUAAAACUCUGUUAUUAGGGAAGAACAAAUGUGUAAGUAACUAUGCACGUCUUGACGGUACCUAAUCAGAAAGCCACGGCUAACUACGUG
rnacentral:rRNA from 1 species